rnacentral:rRNA from 1 species
UACGUAGGGUGCAAGCGUUAAUCGGAAUUACUGGGCGUAAAGGGCGCGUAGGCGGGAUGGCAAGUCGGUCGUGAAAUCCUUCGGCUCAACCGAAGAACGUCGAUCGAUACUGCUGUUCUUGAGGGUUGCAGAGGAGACUGGAAUUCCCGGUGUAGCGGUGAAAUGUGUAGAGAUCGGGAGGAACACCGGUGGCGAAGGCGGGUCUCUGGGCAAUUCCUGACGCUGAGGCGCGAAAGCGUGGGGAGCAAACGGG